rnacentral:rRNA from 2 species
ACGGGGUGCAGCAGGCGCGAAAACUUUGCAAUGUGCGAAAGCACGACAAGGUUAAUCCGAGUGGUUUCUGCUAAAGAAACCUUUUGUCAGUCCUAGAAACACUGAUGAAUAAGGGGUGGGCAAGUUCUGGUGUCAGCCGCCGCGGUAAAACCAGCACCUCAAGUGGUCAGGAUGAUUAUUGGGCCUAAAGCAUCCGUAGCUCGUUUUGUAAGUUUCCGGUUAAAUCCAUGCGCUUAACGUAUGGGCUGCCGGGAAUACUGCAUAACUAGGAAGUGGGAGAGGUAGACGGUACUCGGUAGGAAGGGGUAAAAUCCUUUGAUCUAUUGAUGACCACCUGUGGCGAAGGCGGUCUACCAGAACACGUUCGACGGUGAGGGAUGAAAGCUGGGGGAGCAAACCGGAUUAGAUACCCGGGUAGUCCCAGCUGUAAACUAUGCAAACUCAGUGAUGCAUUGGCUUGUGGCCAAUGCAGUGCUGCAGGGAAGCCGUUAAGUUUGCCGCCUGGGAAGUACGUACGCAAGUAUGAAACUUAAAGGAAUUGGCGGGGGAGCAC